rnacentral:rRNA from 1 species
UACGGGGGGGGCAAGCGUUGUUCGGAAUUACUGGGCGUAAAGGGUUCGUAGGUGGCUCGCUAAGUCAGACGUGAAAUCCCUCAGCUUAACUGGGGAACUGCGUCUGAGACUGGCGGGCUUGAGUGCAGGAGAGGAACGCGGAAUUCCAGGUGUAGCGGUGAAAUGCGUAGAUAUCGGGAGGAACACCAGUGGCGAAGGCGACUUCCUGGCCUGUUCUUGACGCUGAGGCGCGAAAGCUAGGGUAGCAAACGGG